GACGAACGCUGGCGGCGUGCUUAACACAUGCAAGUCGAACGGAAAGGCCCUGCUUUUGUGGGGUGCUCGAGUGGCGAACGGGUGAGUAACACGUGAGUAACCUGCCCUUGACUUUGGGAUAACUUCAGGAAACUGGGGCUAAUACCGGAUAGGAGCUCCUGCUGCAUGGUGGGGGUUGGAAAGUUUCGGCGGUUGGGGAUGGACUCGCGGCUUAUCAGCUUGUUGGUGGGGUAGUGGCUUACCAAGGCUUUGACGGGUAGCCGGCCUGGAAGGGUGACCGGCCACGUUGGGGCUGUGAUACGGCCCAGACUCCUACGGGAGGCAGCAGUGGGGAAUAUUGCACAAUGGGCGGAAGCCUGAUGCAGCAACGCCGCGUGCGGGAUGACGGCCUUCGGGUUGUAAACCGCUUUCGCCUGUGACGAAGCGUGAGUGACGGUAAUGGGUAAAGAAGCACCGGCUAACUACGUG
rnacentral:rRNA from 1 species